GAUUUCAGCUCUUUAGAGAACUCCUAGCACAUUGCAUCCGUCUAGAGAACCAAAUGCUACAAAGCAAAAGGAACCAAUCCGAUGCCUUUCAGAUAUCUGGAAAUACAAAUAUGAACAGUUAAAGAAAGUACAAAUUAAAUCGGACAGAACAAAAUUCUCCAACAUCUCCAGGACUGAGAAGAGGGGAAAAUAUUAAAGAAGAUUCUUGUAUCUUUAAAAGUUGUGUAGAACCAAAUCACAAGCAACAGAUACUGAAAUUUCUUCUUCUAUGCCACCAUUAAAGGUAUGGGAGCCUCUCCAGUUUUUACUCUGGCAAACCUACAUUGCAUACUUAUUUGUCUCUCUCAGUCCUAUCAUUAUUUGUUCAUUGAUUUUGAAAUCCAUUGUAAAAAUGGUGAAUUUUUCUAAAAAAGAGUAAUGAUCUAUACAAUCCUGGCAGUUAUCGGUUAAUACAAAUGCUAAUCAUUACUACAAACCCUACUAAUUACAAACAAAGAAGAGAAUAUAUUUAUAUAUGAAUGUAAUUCUUAGGAAAUUAUAUAUUUCAUAUUCAGUCCAUGCACAGUUCAGAAUAAUGAUUUGAGAACUUCUGCAGUGGAAUGAGGGUUUCCAAAUAAAGACUUUUAGCCAAUCUGCCCAUGUUGGGUCCCUGAAUAUUUAUUUUCCCUGCAGUUGGCACCCCUUGAGGACUUGACACUCCGCAUGCAAUGUAAUGAAUAUCACAUCAUUACUUUUUGCUGU